rnacentral:rRNA from 1 species
CAGCAGCCGCGGGAAUACAGAGGGUGCAAGCGUUAAUCGGAUUUACUGGGCGUAAAGGGCGCGUAGGUGGUUAUGUAAGUGAGAUGUGAAAUCCCCGGGCUCAACCUGGGAACUGCAUCUUAUACUGCGUAGCUGGAGUGCAGUAGAGGGUAGUGGAAUUUCCGGUGUAGCGAUGAAAUUCGUAGAUAUUGGGAAGAACACCAGAGGCGAAGGCGGCUCACUGGACCGACACUGACGCUGAGGCGCGAAAGCGUGGGGAGCAAACAGGAUUAGAUACCCCAGUAGUCCCUGUCUCUUAUAC